CAGUCGCCGCGGUAAUACGGAGGGUGCAAGCGUUAAUCGGAAUUACUGGGCGUAAAGCGCACGCAGGCGGUCUGACAAGUCAGAUGUGAAAUCCCCGGGCUUAACCUGGGAACUGCAUUUGAAACUGUCAGGCUGGAGUCUUGUAGAGGGUGGUGGAAUUCCAGGUGUAGCGGUGAAAUGCGUAGAGAUCUGGAGGAAUACCGGUGGCGAAGGCGGCCCCCUGGACAAAGACUGACGCUCAGGUGCGAAAGCGUGGGGAGCAAACAGGAUUAGAUACCCCUGUAGUCCCUGUCUCUUAUAC
rnacentral:rRNA from 1 species